AUGAUCCGGGGGCUAUCCACACAAGGACACAAGGCUGACAGUGGAUAUACCCUGGAUGGAACACCAAUCCAUCACAGGGUGUAUUUUGGUCCAGGUACCAGACUCACGGUUUUAGAACCUUACAAAAAUGUCACCCGGCCCAAGGUCAAAUUGCUGCCACCUUCCUCUAAAGAAGCAUGCGGAAGAGAGACCACGGUGACCCUGGUGUGUGUGGUCACAGGAUUCUACCCUGACCACAUCGAAGUGUAUUGGCAGCACAACGGAGCCAACCUAACUGGAGGACACGGUACUGAUGACAGGGCACGAGUGGCGGAUGACAACAAGACCUACAGCAUCACCGGCAGACUUCGAGUCAGCACGAAAGCGCUGGUUCAAUACCAAGAACACAUUCACCUGCCUGACCGGCUUCUACGAUGGGAACGAAUACCUGACAGACACGGACAGCAUAACCGCAACAGUGCCCAGCAACCUGGUGGCAGUGCGCCUCACGUAUGGCCUGUUAUUGGGUAA